GCUCAACCUGGGAACUGCAUCUGAUACUGGCAAGCUUGAGUCUCGUAGAGGGGGGUAGAAUUCCAGGUGUAGCGGUGAAAUGCGUAGAGAUCUGGAGGAAUACCGGUGGCGAAGGCGGCCCCCUGGACGAAGACUGACGCUCAGGUGCGAAAGCGUGGGGAGCAAACAGGAUUAGAUACCCUGGUAGUCCACGCCGUAAACGAUGUCGACUUGGAGGUUGUGCCCUUGAGGCGUGGCUUCCGGAGCUAACGCGUUAAGUCGACCGCCUGGGGAGUACGGCCGCAAGGUUAAAACUCAAAUGAAUUGACGGGGGCCCGCACAAGCGGUGGAGCAUGUGGUUUAAUUCGAUGCAACGCGAAGAACC
rnacentral:rRNA from 1 species